rnacentral:rRNA from 1 species
GCGCACCCUCGUCGUAUGUUAUAUGUGUCAUACGAGACUGCCGGUAAAAAGCCGGAGGAAGGUGAGGAUGAUGUCAAGUCAGCAUGACCUUUAUAUCCAGGGCUACACACACGCUACAAUGGUCUGUACAAUGGGUAGCCAAGCCGCGAGGCGGAGCCAAUCCUGAAAGCAGGCCUCAGUUCAGAUUGCAGUCUGCAACUCGACUGCAUGAAGCCGGAGUUGCUAGUAACCGCAGGUCAGCAAUACUGCGGUGAAUACGUUCCCGGGUCUU